CCUUCUCAAGGACACCCGCGCGGGGACGGGGCUGCCGCCUUCAGCACCAAAAAGAGCGUUAUUGUUUCAGUUUGUCUCACCGCCCUUGAACAAACACAGAGAGACGCUGUUGCUUCUCAUCGACCCAGUGGAGCGUAUGGAAACGGGAAAAUUCUUCUACGGGACAAGUGCGAGCUUUCGAGGGAAACGGAGCCUCCAGCCGUCUCACCACCCGCGCCAACACUGACCACAUCUGGGGAGCACGCGCCUUUGUGUCUGCCUUAUCGGGGAAGGGUUAGGGCCACUGGGAGCUAACACAACUGAUGAAAGACCAGAAGCGCAGGCUUAGGUCAGCAGGAAUCAAGGAAACGCUGUGGGUCAAGACGCAGGAAGGAGGAACACCGGCCACCUCCUUUGACCAGGACAGAGGUCAGGACGGCAUCAGUGACACACAACGGCUAUUGCCACGAAGAGAACUGGCUCUGGCAGAAUGGAAGGCCACGGCGGAGAGCGUCUGACGCCCCACUGACGCAGCCAGGAGAUGGAACUAGCGCUGCCCCUUCGGACCAAGUUACCGCUCUGAGAGCUACCCUGGAGGAAUCAGGAGCACUUCCUUCGUGCCAGGGCCUGUGCUGGGCAUCAGAGAAAAGCUGCAAAUAAUAAAGAUGUCCGUAAAUAUUUAUUAAAGGCUCACGGAUC
rnacentral:lncRNA from 1 species